GGACUUAGUUAGAUACUAUCACUGGGUUCAUUUGUGGCUGGUUUUGUCAUAUUUACUUAUGACUGAUAAUAAAUCUCUUUUGCUUUUUAGAGUCUCCUGAAAAGCCUUCCCACUUUGAGGUAUUGAGUUUUAUAAGUUUAUCUUGAAUUAUUUAUUAACUAUGUAUUUUGUGAAGUACACAUUCGUUAUUAAUCAUUUUUCUUCCAAACCCAUUUAGCCUGCCAUUGAAAUGCAAAACUCUGAUCCAAAUAAAGGCUUAGAAUGGAAGAAUAAACAAACAUUGAGAGCAGAUUCAACUACCCUAUCAAAAAUCUUGGAUGCAGUUCCUUCUUGUGAAAGAUGAAGGGAACUUAAAAAAGAUCACUGUGAACAAAUUACAGCAGAAAUGGAACAAACGAAAAAUAAGUUUUGUGUACUACAAAAGGAACUGUCAGAAGCAAAAGAAAUAAAAUCACAGUUAGAGAACCAAAAAGCUAAAUGGGAACAAGAGCUCUGCAGUGUGAGAUUGACUUUAAAUCAAGAAGAAGAGAAGAGAAAAAAUGUCGAUAUAUUAAAAGAAAAAAUUAGACCCGAAGAGCAACUUAGGAAAAAGUUAGAAGUGAAACAACAACUUGAACAGGCUCUCAGAAUACAAGAUAUAGAAUUGAAAAGUGUAACAAGUAAUUUGAAUCAGGUAAAUCAAUCUCUGGCAAAAAUUUUAUAUUUCUGACUUUAUUUCAUCAGUAUUACUUUUAACAUCCCUUUGAUUUAGU
rnacentral:lncRNA from 1 species